rnacentral:rRNA from 1 species
AGGCAUAGCGCCUGUGCUUUUCGGCACCCUAAGGUGGUGCCAGAAUAAGGGCUGGGCAAGACCGGUGCCAGCCGCCGCGGUAAUACCGGCAGCCCGAGUGAUGGCCGAUCUUAUUGGGCCUAAAGCGUCCGUAGCUGGCCGCGCAAGUCCAUCGGGAAAUCCACCUGCUCAACAGGUGGGCGCCCGGUAGAAACUGCGUGGCUUGGGACCGGAAGGCGCGACGGGUACGUCCGGGGUAGGAGUGAAAUCCCGUAAUCCUGGACGGACCGCCGAUGGCGAAAGCACGUCGCGAGAACGGAUCCGACAGUGAGGGACGAAAGCCAGGGUCUCGAACCGGA